UCUAUGGAAGGGCCUCCCUCAGGGAUCAG
rnacentral:sRNA from 1 species